rnacentral:lncRNA from 1 species
GCUGAAUUCCUAGUUAGGAACUAGGAGUUUGUUUGAUUGGGUUGCAUUUGGUGUGCUGCUGUGCAUCCUUGAGGAGGAGAAGGAGGGAGUCUGGAGAUGAUGCAAGGAGUAGUAUACAAGGAUCAUUUUGCUACGUGUGCAGCUGGAAUCUGCAAUUGCUGAGCAGCCUGGGCUAUGCUGAGGUCCUGUAGCCUGUGGCUCCACUGGCACUGCUGUCUGACACAAGUGUAUGGUGCAUGCCGAGAAGGGCGACUGAAGUCAAGAGUGAGGCAAAUGAAUUUGGGAAGGCAGAACUGCCCCUUUUGUUAUUGAAGCUUCAAACCCAGUUACAAGUGCUGCAGGAAACUGUUUUCUCUUGCUGUGGGGACUGGAGCAUCUCUCUUAUGACGUCUGAAGAGGAAAAGUUAAAACAGGGCAUUAGAUUCUGUCUUGGAAAUACCUUACCACAGGCAGCUGGAAUCUGAAUCCAAAAGUUCACGCUUGAAAAUCUGAGUUAAAUACAGACUCGGGUGGAUACCUGAGCAAUACUGUGCUAUCAUGAGUAAUAGCAGGACUCCUGGUGACGUCUGCUGAGAUAAGUUAAAAAUAAAAGAAAA